rnacentral:rRNA from 1 species
GACGGAGGAUGCAAGUGUUAUCCGGAAUCACUGGGCGUAAAGCGUCUGUAGGUGGUUUAAAAAGUCUACUGUUAAAGCUUGAAGCUUAACUUCAAAAAUGCCGUAGAAACUUUUAAACUUGAGUAUGGUAGGGGUAGAGGGAAUUUCCAGUGGAGCGGUGAAAUGCGUAGAUAUCGGGAGGAACACCAGUGGCGAAGGCGAUCACCUGGGGUUGUUCUGACGCUGAGGAGCGAAAGCUAGGGGAGCAAACGGG